rnacentral:misc_RNA from 1 species
CUGCUUCUUCGAACCGUUUUAGAAACAUCAGUGGCCAACGAUCGUCAGGAUUGUUGAGCUGCAUUGGCGGGAUUUCGCCGUCUACGUUUCUCUUUCUUCGCGGACGAACACGCGCCAGGGGCUUAGCGCUUGUGCGAUGCAUCUGGCGUGAGCCGGCUGCGCGCCAUUGCGGCCCCUCGUGUUAGGGGCUUGUAGCUCAGUUGGUUAGAGCGCGCGCUUGAUAAGCGUGAGGUCGGAAGUUCAAGUCUUCCCAGGCCCACCACUUUGAUCGAGCGCACUACGUCUCAAUAAUCGACGUAAAGCAUUCGUCUUCUGGUACGGGGCCAUAGCUCAGCUGGGAGAGCGCGUGCUUUGCAAGCAUGAGGUCGUCGGUUCGAUCCCGUCUGGCUCCACCAGAUGGAAUUGAAGAUCGACAAAGUGCCCUGCUAACAAAGCGCUUUUCAUAUCGUCCGCGAAACAUCACUUCGCACGCAUUGUCCGGAUGGACAGUGACGUGCGUGAUAUCUGACAUCGUAAAGAGGAGAUCGAUCCGAGUUUGGGAUCUGCAAAGCAAUUUGCGGGCUCUCAUUCCUAAUCUCCAGAUCAUUUCGGCGCUCGCUCAUCGCAAGAUGAGUGAGUUGUAAAUGAUCUUUGUAGCGAAGCUUGACCGCCUCGCUAUCGGUUCGAUCUUACGAAGCAAGCUGGUCUUUCUAAUCAGUGUCCAGCCGCAUGCAGCAUUCAUCGAGGGUGCGCGCCUUUUGACUUCGGUCUUGAGGCAAGUGUGCGGACAACAUUCUGCCGAGUGUGUGGACAUUGAUAAUGAGAGCAAUCAAGUGCCUUAAGGGUGUUCGGUGGAUGCCUUGGCGCUGAGAGGCGAUGAAGGACGUGCUACGCUGCGAUAAGCCG